rnacentral:rRNA from 1 species
UACGGGGGGAGCAAGCGUUGUUCGGAUUUACUGGGCGUAAAGGGCGGGUAGGCGGCCACCGCAAGUCGACUGUGAAAUCUCCGGGCUUUAACCCGGAAAGGUCAGCCGAUACUGCGGGGCUAGAGCACGGUAGGGGCAGAUGGAAUUCCCGGUGUAGCGGUGGAAUGCGUAGAGAUCGGGAAGAAUACCAGUGGCGAAGGCGUUCUGCUGGGCCGUUGCUGACACUGAGGCGCGACAGCGUGGGGAGCAAACAGG